UGGGGAAUUUUGCACAAUGGGGGAAACCCUGAUGCAGCGACGCCGCGUGAUUUAGAAGGCCUUCGGGUUGUAAAAAUCUUUUUUACGGGGUGAAAAUGACAGUACCGUAAGAAUAAGGUCCGGCUAAAUACGUGCCAGCAGCCGCGGUAAUACGUAUGGACCGAGCGUUGUCCGGAAUCAUUGGGCGUAAAGGGUACGUAGGCGGCCUAGUAAGUUAGAAGUUAAAGAAUAUAGGUCAACUAUAUAAAGCUUUUAAAGCUGCUAGGCUUGAGAGAUGGAAGGGAAAGUGGAAUUCCUAGUGUAGCGGUGAUAUGCGCAGAUAUUAGGAAGAAUACCGGUGGCGAAUGCUACGGUCUGGUCACAAUCUGACGCUGUGGUACGAAAGCGUGGGUAGCAAACAGG
rnacentral:rRNA from 1 species